AAGCUCGUAGUUGAAUUUCGGGAUUAAUUUAUUGGUCGUGCAAUAGUACGUACUGGUAUUAUUGAUUCCUACCUUCUGACGAACCAUGAUGUCAUUAAUUUGGUGUCAUGGGGAAUCAGGACUGUUACUUUGAAAAAAUUAGAGUGUUUAAAGCAGGCUCACGCUUGAAUACAUUAGCAUGGAAUAACAAAAUAGGACGUUUGAUUCUAUUUUGUUGGUUUCUAGGAUCGACGUAAUGAUUAAUAGGGAUAGUUGGG
rnacentral:rRNA from 1 species